UUAGCAGAGCCACAGCUGGGGUCUUCUGACACCGGCCUAAUUUCAGCAGCCCCGUGUCCUUUUUGCCCCCGGCUGCCUUUUUCCUGCUCAUUCGUAAUGCAGGGAAAGGAAAAGUCACGAGGUUCAUUUUAUGUUCAGAGGCUCCAAAACAGGACGACCUUAGAUGACCCAGCCCAAGGUAGAGGGAGGGAGGCGGGCUUUCAGUGCGUUUACCUCCUGAGACCCAGAUUCCCCCAGUGUUUUCCUGCCAGUAAGGAUAGUGGAUUCCAGGGCGUGUAAGCAGUGCCCAGUGCUUCUUGUCGCCUGCAGGACUGUCUCAUGACUGCUGUCCCGUGUUCGUGAAAGGUGACCUCUGGCAGAAUGAGAAUCAGGAGGUGCCCGGCUGGUGUGCAUGUGCAGGGCCUCCGUGAGAGGCAUCGUCUGAGCAGCCCGGUGUGAGGCCCCGGGGCCCCGAGGAGCACGGCAUGCAUUGCUCUCAGGGAGCUGUCAGUAAUGUCAAAUAAACGGAGAGAGAGAAAAACAAAGUCUAGUUUGGCGUGCCUACACUGGGAGCUGAGGCCUGGUUGACCCGACCUUCUCCGUGGUGGCGCUUGGGGAGAAGGUGGCGCCGGAGAUGAAAUGCUUGUAUGUUCGUCUCCCUCUCAGGUCAGCCUUAGGUCCGGAGGCUGUUGAAGGAAGUCCCGAGGCCACGAGUCGUUGACCCUCACUCAGGAUGACUUGGGUUCUUCUGGGUUUGCAGUGGUUUUCCCCAAGGUUCUCUUGGUGGUGGUAGUGGUCUCCAGGGGGACAGAGCAUGGAGAGGGGGUCCCCACGUGAAGCAUCCCCAGAGCACCCCCUGCUGUUCGCUCCGAGCACCGUGAUCAGCUUUUCCCUCCACACAGGACCUCAAAGGGAAGCUGGGGCUGCGGCUGAGGUCUGCUCCGGCUGGCUCUGUCUUGCCAGCUCUGCCCUGCGAAGCUGUAGACCCGGAAGGUCAGCCACGUGUCCCUCCACUAUGCCUGGAAUGACUGUAAUGACCCGAUACUGUUUUCUUGAACUGCAUCUGUUCCUCCCUUUCCCCCUCUGCCCUCCCAUUCAAUAAACCUCACAGACUCGCCGUG